UCUCGUAAAGUCUCCAGAAAUUAACAUAACAAACUCCAUCCUGUAGGAGGCGCUGUGUUAAAACCCCCUGGGUCCUGAGAGUGCGGUCCUGAGAGCGUGGUCCUGUGAGCGCUGUUGGUUCUCCAGGCCUGCAGGUACACCCUACUCCCCCGCAUACUUGCGCUGUUGGGCGAUGUAAUGAGCAUGCCAGAACAGUAGUUGGCGGUGUUUUCCUAAAAGUCAGUGAAUUCUAUCCAAUCAGAGCACUCCUUUUUUUGUGUCGUCAUUUCCGCAAACAGUGAAACAUGGCGCAGGCCGGCACGUUCGUGUGGACCGACAGCGAGGUGGAAUUACUUUUAAAUGUGGUUAGGGAAUAUAAAGUUAACAAGACACGAGAAAACAUCGAUUGGGAGUCUUGUCGGAGCAAGUAUGUGGACAUCUUAAGGCAGUAUUUGGAGCAGUAUCCUGCGGAGACGUCGACCGAGUUUCCGCAUGAAAAGCGAGAGCUCACGCGCGCGAUCCUGACCGCGAAGAUGAAGACAGUCAGAGGAAAAUACCGACAGACUGUUGACUCCUGUCGCCGGAGCGGACACGGUAGAGUGUUUGAAGUGUGUGAGCAGAUCUGGGGAGGAUCAGCAGCCAUUACAGCCAUGCCGUCGGGAAUCGAAACCAGUGAUCUGAAUCAGAGCCUUCCUCCUUCGCCUUCUACGUCUUCCUCGUCCACUGAAGAGGACAGUGAGAGAAGACCUGCUUCAGGUCAAACUGAGAGGACACCGUCUGAAGAGAAGACUUCCUGCUGAAACCCAGUGGCUAAACACACUUGAAGAAGACCAACGUGUGAAGAAGAGACUAGUUGAUAUUUUAGAAACUUCAACAAAGCAAUCACAUGACAAUUUUGCUAAAAUGAACGAUACACUCAAUAGGUUGACCGCAUCUGUCGCUGAAGGCUUUUCUCUCCUGAGAGAAGUGUUGAUCGCUCCUCCUGCUCAACACUACAUGCUGUAUGAUCACAUUCAUUCACACACACAAGCAGAUUCAACUCACCUCAAUUCAUUCACCUCACCGUCUGACAGAAGAGCACAGCAUGAUGCAAACAGCACACGAGAUGUACCUCACACAUCACUUCAGAGCUCAGGACAGUUUUCAUGUAGUCAAACCCUCUCCAGUGAUGAGUAAAGCAUGCUUUAUUCUUUUUCUUAAUGGGAUUUUGUUCAUCUUUUGUAUUAGUCUAACAGUCACAAGAUUGUGUUUUUAUUUGCACAAAAUUGCAUUGGCAAUAAACGUGAAGCUUUAAGAAGGAUGGAAGCUAUUAUUGUGUUAAUUCUAAUACUUUAAAUUAGAACUUGACUUUUUAUUUUCAAUGACACAGUGCAAUGUUCAUGACAUGUCAAACUGUUCAAAAAUAAAAAUGUCUUUCAAACUGAUGUGUGCGGUUUAAUCAGAACAAAUGAUGGAAAUAUCCUUGUUUCUGUUGUUUAGUAGCUCUUCAUUUAAACCUAAAAGAAUAUCAGUCUAUCCUGUCUCUUAUGGAUCUGUUACCAUGCGUGCUCUGCAUAAAGACGGUCCAAAAUACUCUUCCUGUGCAUUGCUCCUGAUACGGUAACAGUGGGUAGGCGGGGUCGCCUAGAAUGUAAACAGAAAUUGGCGCUUCAUUGUCAAUAAGUGGUCUUGGGCACGGUGGGAUUUUUUCAUUUUUUAGCUACUCGUUGAUUGAUGAGUUGGAGAAAAUGCUUCCUGGACAUUUCACCACCACAUCCAUGAAGCAGUACUUAUAGUCACAGAGCACGUGAUGCAGUAAAUAACUUACAACUGGAGUUAAAUAAGCUCCGCCUCCUGGAGCUGCAGAGACAGUUGGGGACCGUCAACAAAGACAUUGACUGUAUAUAGAGAACUGGAACCCCGUGUUCCAAAUAUUUUUAAAGAAAU
rnacentral:lncRNA from 1 species